UACGUAGGGGGCAAGCGUUGUCCGGAAUCAUUGGGCGUAAAGCGCGUGUAGGCGGCUCGGUAAGUCUGCUGUGAAAGUCCAGGGCUCAACCCUGGGAUGCCGGUGGAUACUGUCGAGCUCGAGUCCGGAAGAGGCGAGUGGAAUUCCUGGUGUAGCGGUGAAAUGCGCAGAUAUCAGGAGGAACACCAGCGGCGAAGGCGGCGCUCUGGGCCGGUACUGACGCUGAGGAGCGAAAGCGUGGGGAUCAAACAGG
rnacentral:rRNA from 1 species